rnacentral:rRNA from 1 species
UACGGGGGGGGCAAGCGUUGUUCGGAAUUACUGGGCGUAAAGGGCGCGUAGGCGGUCAGAUAAGUCAGCUGUGAAAACCUCGGGCUUAGCCCGAGGCCUGCAGUUGAAACUGUUUGGCUGGAGUGUGGGAGAGGAGAGUGGAAUUCCUGGUGUAGCGGUGAAAUGCGCAGAUAUCAGGAAGAACACCCGUGGCUAAGGCGGCUCUCUAGUACGGUACUGACGCUGAGACGCGAAAGCGUGGGGAGCGAACAGG